rnacentral:rRNA from 1 species
UACAGAGGGGGCAAGCGUUGUUCGGAAUUACUGGGCGUAAAGGGCGCGUAGGCGGCCUUCUAAGUCGAACGUGAAAUCCCCGGGCUCAACCCGGGAACUGCGUCCGAUACUGGAAGGCUUGAAUCCGGGAGAGGGAUGCGGAAUUCCAGGUGUAGCGGUGAAAUGCGUAGAUAUCUGGAGGAACACCGGUGGCGAAGGCGGCAUCCUGGACCGGCAUUGACGCUGAGGCGUGAAAGCCAGGGGAGCAAACGGG